rnacentral:lncRNA from 1 species
ACCUCAAAACCUAGCUUGGCCGAUGAUAGGGUGGUCGGAACUCCUCUUCACCCCUCCGCCGAGCUCGGACGGACGGACGGUCGACGACGACGACGACCGGUCGACGACGACGACGAUCGGAGAAACCCGAGCUCCACGCGGACCACGCCUCGUCACCUCCACCGCUCGUCCGCUCCGGCCUCCGCGGCUCCGCGCCUCCGCCUCUGCAAAUGGGGUGAAUCGGGUGAUAGGCUGAUAGCCGAUAGGGGCAACGGGGGUCGGGACUCGGUC